CGAACGCUGGCGGCAGGCCUAAUACAUGCAAGUCGAACGGCUCUUCGGAGCAGUGGCGGACGGGUGAGUAACGCGUGGGAAUGUGCCCUUUGGUACGGAACAACACAGGGAAACUUGUGCUAAUACCGUAUGUGCCCUUCGGGGGAAAGAUUUAUCGCCAUUGGAGCAGCCCGCGUUGGAUUAGGUAGUUGGUGAGGUAAAGGCUCACCAAGCCUACGAUCCAUAGCUGGUCUGAGAGGAUGACCAGCCACACUGGGACUGAGACACGGCCCAGACUCCUACGGGAGGCAGCAGUAGGGAAUCUUGCGCAAUGGGCGGAAGCCUGACGCAGCCAUGCCGCGUGUAUGAUGAAGGUCUUAGGAUUGUAAAAUACUUUCACCGGGGAAGAUAAUGACGGUACCCCAAGAAGAAGCCCCGGCUAACUCCGUGCCAGCCGCCGCCGUAACAC
rnacentral:rRNA from 1 species